rnacentral:rRNA from 1 species
CCCGCCGGCGACCGGCGCACGGGUGAGUAACACGUAUGCAACCUGGCCGCCACAGGGGAUAACCCGCGGAAACGCGGCCUAAUACCCCGUGACGCCACCGGAGGGCAUCCUCCGGUGGCCAAAGGAGCGAUCCGGUGGCGGAUGGGCAUGCGGCGCAUUAGCUAGACGGCGGGGUGACGGCCCACCGUGGCGACGAUGCGUAGGGGUUCUGAGAGGAGGGCCCCCCACACUGGGACUGAGACACGGCCCAGACUCCUACGGGAGGCAGCAG